GGUCUGUUCCUUUGUUUUUUAGUGUUACACUUUUGAGUGUAAGUGUACGAAAUUCUAUGGACAUUUGAGUGUAAAAUGACAGCGGAUGUGACAGCGGCUCAUGACAGCGGACAGUAUUAAACGAAAAUUAUCGGUGUGCCAAUCAAGCAAAGGGACAAGGAACUUCCGAAUAUGGCCUAACUGGGGGCACAUAACAUAACAUAACCUAAUCCUAAUAUUUACAUUUGUAAAGAAUAUCCUGUUUGUUUUUAUUGUCGAUUGUGCAGCGAAAUUGUGUGCAGCAAAUCAAAUAUAAAGUAGUUUAUCGCCUACAGAACUGAAUUAGUCCAUAGCAGUUAUCAGUUUUUCUUUCUUGGGAAGCUUAUACAUGUAACUUGUAUUGUUGUAAAUUGUGGGAGUAGGGCAGACAGGGAAAAGUCUUAUUUUGUACUGUUCCCAAGGCUCCCCAUGCAAUACAUUUAAAUGAAUUAUCCAAACAAAGCUGGGGACAAUGGAUAAAAGCCACAAGAAGAACAGAUAUAAGGGAACUAAAAUUAAAAUAUGAAAAGUAAACAUUUUAUAAGUGGAACAACCACCAGAUAUUUAAAAGGUAUAAAAAGAAGAAACUGCUGGAAUUUCAAAACAAAUGUGUUUGACUAGUAAAGAUUUGGAUAAAUAACAGGAGUUACUUUGGGCUAUAGCUAAGUGCAGAUUUAUUUCCUUGUGGCUUCCUAUGUUAAUUCUUAUUAAUUAUACACUUAAAUAUGUUUUUAGUCUCAGGAAGAUUUUAUAUUUGAUUAUUUUUGAAUAAACAUUAUUAUUAUUAUUACCUUAAUUUCCAUUAAAUAAAUUAACUGUAAUCAAUAAAGUAAUCGUUUAAUUGUUAAUAAAUUAUCAAGUAUGA